AGAAACAUAGAAUGUGACGGCAGAUAAGAACCAUUCGGCCCAUCUAGUCUGCCCAAUUUUCUAAAAACUUUCAUUAGUCCCUAGCCUUAUCUUAUAGUUAGGAUAGCCUUAUGCCUAUCCCAUGCAUGCUUAAACUCCUUUACUGUGUUAACCUCUGCCACUUCAGCUGGAAGGCUAUUCCAUGCAUCCACUACCCUCUCAGUAAAGUAAUACUUCCUGAUAUUAUUUUUUAAACCUUUGUCCCUCUAAUUUAAGACUAUGUCCUCUUGUUGUGGUAGUUUUUCUUCUUUUAAAUAUAGUCUCCUCCUUUACUGUGUUGAUUCCCUUUAUGUAUUUAAAUGUUUCUAUCAUAUCCCCUGUCUCGUCUUUCCUCCAAGCUAUACAUGUUAAGAUCCUUUAGCCUUUCCUGGUAAGUUUUAUCCCGCAAUCCAUGAACCAGUUUAGUAGCCCUUCUCUGAACCCUCUCUAAGGUAUCAAUAUCCUUCUGAAGAUACGGUCUCCAGUACUGUGUACAAUACUCCAAGUGAGGUCUCACCGGUGUUCUGUAUAAUGGCAUGAGCACUUCCCUCUUUCUACUGCUAAUACCUCUCCCUAUACAACCAAGCAUUCUGCUAGCAUUUCCUGCUGCUCUAUUACAUUGUCUGCCUGCCUUUAAGUCAUCAGAAAUAAUCACCCCUAAAUCCCUUUCCUCAUAUGUUGAGGUUAGGACUCUAUCAAAUAUUCUGUACUCUGCCCUUGGGUUUUUACAUCCAAGGUGCAUUAUCUUGCACUUAUCCACAUUAAAUGUCAGUUGCCACAAUUCUGACCAUUUUUCUAGUUUACCUAAAUCAUUUGCCAUUUGGCUUAUCCUCCUGGAACAUCAACCCUGUUACAUAUCUUAGUAUCAUCAGCAAAAAGACAUACCUUACCAUCAAGACCUUCUGCAAUAUCACUAAUAAAAUAUUAAAGAGAAUGGGUCCAAGUACAGAUCCCUGAGGUACCCCACUGGUGACAAGUCCAAGCUUCGAAUAUAUUCCAUUAACUACAACCCUCUGUUGCCUGUUACUCAGCCACUGCCUUACCCAUUCAGCAAUAUUUGAAUCCAAACUUAAAGAUUGCAGUUUAUUGAUAAGCCUUCUAUGUGCAACAGUGUCAAAAGCCUUACUGAAAUCUAGGUAAGCAAUGUCUACUGCACCACCCUGAUCUAUAGUUUUAGUUACCCAAUCAAAAAAAUCAAUAAGAUUAGUUUGGCAUGAUCUCCCUGAAGUAAACCCAUGUUGUCUCUGAUCUUGAAAUCCAUGUGUUUUUAGAUGUUCAUCAAUCCUAUCCUUUAACAUGGUUUCCAUCACUUUCCCCACUACUGAAGUAAGGCUUACUGGCCUAUAGUUGCCUGACUCCUCCCUAUUACCUUUCUUGUGAAUGGGCACAACAUUAGCUAACUUCCAAUCUUCUGGGACUACUCCUGUUAACAAUGAUUGGUUAAAUAAAUCUGUUAAUGGUUUUGCUAGUACACCACUAAGCUCUUUUAAUAGCUUUGGGUGUAUUCCAUCAGGUCCCAUUGACUUAUUUGUCUUUACUUUUGACAGUUGAAAUAGAACCUCUUCCUCUGUAAACUCACGUGUAAUAAAUGACUCAUUUAUCCUUUUUCUCAACUGAGGUCCCUUUCCUUCAUUUUCUUCUGUAAAUACAGAACAAAAAUAUUCAUUGAGGCAGUCAGCCUGACCUUUAUCCUCUUCUACAUACCUUCCUUCUUUUGUUUUUAAUCUAACUAAUCCUUGUUUUACUUUUCUUUUCUCAGGAGAGCAGCUGGGAAUGUAAGUAAGAACUUGCUGCGGGCCCCUCAGGACCGCCGGGCUUGUCAUAGGAUUGGUCGAU